CCGAUAGCGUAUAUUAAAGUUGUUGCAGUUAAAAAGCUCGUAGUUGAAUUUCGGGAUCAGUACGCUGGUCGUGCCUUGGUAUGUACUGGUGUUACUGGUUCCUACCUUCUGACGAACCGUCAUGUCAUUAAUUUGGUGUGGCGGGGAAUCAGGACUGUUACUUUGAAAAAAUUAGAGUGUUUAAAGCAGGCUCGCGCUUGAAUACAUUAGCAUGGAAUAAUGAAAUAGGACGUUUGAUCCUAUUUUGUUGGUUUCUAGGAUUGACGUAAUGAUUAAUAGGGAUAGUUGGGGGCAUUAGUAUUCAAUUGUCAGAGGUGAAAUUCUUGGAUUUAUUGAAGACUAACUACUGCGAAAGCAUUUGCCAAGGAUGUUUUCAUUAAUCAAGAACGAAAGUUAGGGGAUCGAAGACGAUCAGAUACCGUCGUAGUCUUAACCAUAAACUAUGCCGACUAGGGAUCGGAUGAUGUUAAUUUUUUAAUGACUCAUUCGGCGCCUUACG
rnacentral:rRNA from 1 species